rnacentral:rRNA from 1 species
AGAGUUUGAUCCUGGCUCAGAAUCAACGCUGGCGGCGUGCCUAACACAUGCAAGUCGAGCGAGAAAGGGGACUUCGGUCCCUGAGUAGAGCGGCGGACGGGUGAGUAACACGUGGGUAAUCUGCCCUCGGGUGGGGAAUAACUCAGGGAAACCUGGGCUAAUUCCGCAUGACACUUUCGAUACAUAGGUAUUGAGAAUCAAAGCUGGGGACCCUUCGGGGCCUGGCGCCUGAGGAGGAGCCCGCGGCCAAUUAGCUUGAUGGUGAGGUAAUGGCUCACCAUGGCUGCGAUUGGUAGCCGGCCUGAGAGGGCGGACGGUCACACUGGGACUGAGACACGGCCCAGACUCCUACGGGAGGCAGCAGUGGGGAAUUUUUGUCAAUGGGGGAAACCCUGAACAAGCAACGCCGCGUGAAGGACGAAGACCUUCGGGUUGUAAACUUCUGUCGGAGGGGACGAAGGCAGUAUUGGUUAAUACCCAGUAUUGUUGACGGUACCCUACGAGGAAGCCCCGGCUAACUCCGUGCCAGCAGCCGCGGUAAUACGGGGGGGGCAAGCGUUGUUCGGAAUUACUGGGCGUAAAGGGCGCGUAGGCGGACGGGACAGUCUUUCGUGAAAUCCCACGGCUCAACCGUGGAACUGCGGGAGAUACUUCUCGUCUUGAGUUCGGGAGAGGAGUGUGGAAUUCCCAGUGUAGCGGUGAAAUGCGUAGAUAUUGGGAGGAACACCGGUGGCGAAGGCGGCACUCUGGACCGAUACUGACGCUGAGGCGCGAAAGCUAGGGGAGCAAACGGGAUUAGAUACCCCGGUAGUCCUGGCUGUAAACGCUGAGCACUUGGUGUAGCGGGUAUCGACCCCUGCUGUGCCGAAGCUAACGCAUUAAGUUCACCGCCUGGGGAGUACGGUCGCAAGGCUAAAACUCAAAGGAAUUGGCGGGGACCCGCACAAGCAGCGGAGCGUGUGGUUUAAUUCGAUGCUACACGAAGAACCUUACCAGGGCUUGACAUAUUGGUGGUAGGGAUCCGAAAGGUGACCGACCCUUCGGGGAGCCAUUACAGGUGCUGCAUGGCUGUCGUCAGCUCGUGUCGUGAGAUGUCCGGUUAAGUCCGGUAACGAGCGCAACCCUUGCUGUAUGUUACAAGUGUCAUACAGGACUGCCGGUUUAGAACCGGAGGAAGGCGGGGAUGACGUCAAGUCAGCAUGGCCUUUAUAUCCAGGGCUACACACACGCUACAAUGGCCGGUACAAUGGGUCGCGAAGCCGCGAGGCGGAGCCAAUCCUCCAAAGCCGGUCUCAGUUCGAAUUGUAGGCUGCAACCCGCCUGCAUGAAGUUGGAGUUGCUAGUAACCGCAGGUCAGCCACACUGCGGUGAAUACGUUCCCGGGUCUUGUACACACCGCCCGUCACGUCAUGGAAGCUGGUAACACUUAAAACCGGUGGGCUAACCGCAAGGANGCAGCCGUUGANGGUGGGACUGGUGACUGGGACGAAGUCGUAACAAGGUAACC